UGCUGGCCUUAUCAGUCUUGUCAGCCUGGCCAGGAGAGAGCUGUUCUCUCUUUUUGUCUACUUAUCAGCAAGGUUGACGUUACAGAAUGUACUUGGUUUGGGGUGGAGGCAGGCGAUGUGGCAGUGACUGUGGGUGACUUUAAAGGACUUAAUGGCAUCUAGCGGCAUAGUUGUAGUUACACCUUCGCAUCAUCCGCCAUUCCAAGCAUGUAGGAGAAGUCCCAUUCAAAGCACAUUACUUUGCUUUGGUUUUGUUUCGGUUAGUCUUCUACAAUCUUGCCUGGUAGAAUUCUGGUGAACUAACUCAUCAGCAGAGGAUUGAGUUGGCAAAAACGGCAAGGAGGAAACAACCCCAAAGCUUCCACAGCAGAGGCUUAUACCAGUUAAUUCCCCAGCACUGUGUACCCAGGGGCGUCCAUUCAGGGGGUUAAACGGAGGAUGAAGAAGAGGAGCUUUAAACUCUUCAUCCCUGCAAUCAUCGAGCAGAUACCGGACUCCAUCGUCACCAUGCCCGGCUUCCAGACGGUUCGAGCCGACAGGGACACCACCGCGACCGGCAUGAAGAAAGGAGGGGGACUGUCCGUGCUCAUAAACAACAGGUGGUGUAACGCCGGGCACGUCUGUGUGAAAGAGCGUCUGCAGCCCGGACAUCGAGCUCGUCGCCGUCGGACUUCGUCCAUGUUGUCUGCCACGGGAACUUUCCAGUGUUGUCGCCAUCACUGUCUAUAUUCCUCACAGUGGUCUUCAUCAUCACUGUCUAUAUUCCUCACAGUGGUCUUCAUCAUCACCAUCACUGUUUACAUUUAUGAUGUCCUAUUUAUUCUCCUGUACAGCACUUUGGUCAACUUUGGUUGUUUUUAAAGUGCUUAACAAAUAAAGUUGGAUUGGAUUG